GCAAAACAAAAGAGAGACGGCAUCAGGUAGUUGGUUGAUAUCAAAGGUGGAGUCAUUUACAAGGGUUGUCUGUUGGCUGCUGUUUAGGCCUUAGGGAAGAAAGGCCAAUCAUAGUUAGUGAGGGAGGGGCCUAACACCCCCAUCCCAUCACGACUGAGCAUUUCAUUUUCAAGGUUACUCUGGGGUCCCCUAAGUCAAGAGAUGGUCUGUUUAGUCAGUUGCAGGGUUUAGGCUUUUAUUUUUAUUUCUCACUUCUUUAUUUUAUUCUAUCUAGAAAGGGGACCUCACAACAGUAAGGACUUCACUUUGUUCCCUGUUAUGACCUCAGUGACUGAAAUACUGCCAGGAGUAUAGGAAAUGCUAAAUGAAUAUCUGAUGAAAUCAUGAAUAAAUGGUAUUUCCAAAAUCAGAGGCAUGGUAAUAAACACACCCAACAUUUAUCUGAUAUUUAUGUUAUGCAUUUUAACUAUUUUUGCCAUAUUGAGGCCUCCUCAUAUAUUAUCAUAUUUUACCACAAUUUAAAUAAUGGAUCAUAUUCUGAUAUUCUGAUUAAUGAUCACAUUCAUUUUGACAAUUUAGUUUUUGAACUUUUAUACUAUAUAACUUAAAAAGGCCAUAAUCUACUUUAAUUACCUUCAUAGAUUAUUAAGUAUAAAUUAAAUUUUUAUACAAUAUUUGGAUUAGGUAGGUGGUACAAUAUCUGUUUUAACCUAGAAGCAUGAAAAAGUCUUAAAAAGUAAAUUAAAAAGUAAAAUCAGUGUUUUAAAAAUAUAUAUGAGAACAUGAAUAAUUUUUUCACAUUUUUUCAUCUAAUUUUCAUUUGGAGAAAAUAAAUUUAUUAUGAAAUUAUUCUAAUAAAAUUAUUCAAACACACACUUAGGUGAUAAUUAUUUUGUUCAUCACCAAACUUACUACAUUUACACUUAGAGACCAGUGAACAUAUGUACCAUUACCUUUGGAAAGAAUGUCUCCUCAUAUUGUGUUUUUACUUUCUAGACAUAACCAGCAUCUUGCCAUCACACUGAAAAGAUCACAAAUUACACAGUGUUGACUUAAAUAUUAGCAUGACAUCGAGACUGUUUUUAAUAAAAGGGAGAAUAAAUCAUUGAAUUUGAGUACUGAAGUUGAAAACUAGCCACAUUUGUUAUAAAUUCCUCUUUAAAAAGUAGUCUUUUCUACUUUGAUUUUUUUGUUUUCUUGAUUUCACCCCUCAUAUAGAAGUUUGAUACUUCAAAAUUUUUUUCUUCUUAUAUUAUUUAAUUUGUCACACAGACUAGGAAAUAAGAGGAACAUAAUAACUAAACAGUGCAAGCUUAGAUUCUUUGAGUCUA
rnacentral:lncRNA from 1 species